rnacentral:lncRNA from 1 species
UUCAUGCUUUACCUUAACCUAUGGAGAUGUAAAACACUUUGAGACAAAAUCAACAAUAUUCCUUUUCAUCUUGUUCCAACAAAACUGGAGUCGUAUACUUUGGUACAUCUUGGUGCUUUCCGGGUGCAUGGUGAACUUCGAACUGUAAGCCUUUGUCAUGAUGUCUCUUUUCAAAUCGUUAUCACUAGGAACACACGACCUGUCUUGAAACUUGAGUAACCCAUCAGUGGAAACCCGAAACUCUAUAUUCAAACCUUGUUUUCUAUCCUUUUUUAUGGUUGCUAGAGUGGAAUCAGUUAGUUGAGCCUCCUUGAUCCUUUGGAUUAACUCGGGUUAGAAUGCUAAGUGAGCUAAACAUGUGGCUCGUUCUAAGUCUUGGAGUUGUAUCCAUUGCGUGGUCUUUAUUAAUCUGCACUCGAAGACCAUCAUAUGAGCUAACAUACAUGUAUUCUUUCUACUGAGAGCAUCAGCUACCACAUUACUCU